rnacentral:rRNA from 1 species
UACGAAGGGGGCUAGCGUUGCUCGGAAUCACUGGGCGUAAAGGGCGCGUAGGCGGAUCUUUAAGUCGGGGGUGAAAGCCCAGGGCUCAACCCUGGAAUUGCCUUCGAUACUGAAGAUCUUGAGACCGGAAGAGGUUAGUGGGACUGCGAGUGUAGAGGUGAAAUUCGUAGAUAUUCGCAAGAACACCAGUGGCGAAGGCGGCUACUGGUCCGGUUCUGACGCUGAGGCGCGAAAGCCAGGGGAGCAAACGGG